GGGAUGUGUGGGUGUAGGACAGGAAGCAGGUAUUCGGAAAGAGCUCUUUACGGCCAGGGCUCUGCGCUAGGCCCGUAAAUGUGAAGGGAGGAAGGGUGGCCCUUUCGGGGCUGCCAGGUGCUUUCCCCACCUUGUCGCCCUCCGCACUAGGCGGAAGGUGACGUGGGGGAAGAGUAGGCAUGGCCCUGGCAGCCAGGCUGCGCUUGGGCGGGAGGCUCUGGCAGGUGGCCGCUGCCGUGAAAGGUAGGCCAGUCCUUGCUUCAGAGGCCGCAGCGCCGCGCGCCAGGACCUCUGGGGUUUCCAUGGUGCUUUCUCUCUUCCUCUCUCUCUGUGUUUCUUUAGUGACACCCUGGAGGAGAAUCCGCCUCUGCGGUCGCGGCCGCCGGCAGGGAUCCACCGAGCAAAGGUCGCCUUGGCUUCCAGAGGGCAGAGGAGCCCCGGUCUUGGCCGGCGGGGCCGGCGGGGGACCUCUCAUCCAGACAGAAGAUGGCAUUUGGGGUCAGGAACCAUUGGGCCCUUACCUUCCAUCGAUAUCCUGCAAGUUCUGUGAAUUCAUUGGGCUUUCUGCUCAGGCUGCCUGGAAGAAGAAGUGAAUCAGGACCCUGAGUAAUCCAACUGGGGACUGUUUGGCAAGCACAAGAGUAAAGUUCUCCUCUGCUGCAUCAGUCUGAUGGCAGGUGACUCUUAAAUCUUGAAGGCUGUGCCCAGAUACUUCCAAGCUGGUUAACUUUGAAUGGAGCCUGGUGGUCAUCCGUUGACUGAGGAACAUCCUAGUGAAACUUGAAGAGGCUCGGCACUAAGCUGAGACUGGAGGAUAUAUUGUUCAGCAGUAACAACUCAUGGAGACGGUCCUACUAAGGCAGAGAGGAGGUGAGUUCAUCAACAGAUUUCUUGAAAGAGAUGAGUUUGAAGAGUGGGAGAUGGCCAUGAUUUUGUAGGGA
rnacentral:lncRNA from 1 species